GUGCUUGCUUCAGCAGCACAUAUACUAAAAUUGGAUCGAUACAGAGAAAAUCAGCAUGGCACCUGCACAAGGAUAACAUGCAAAUUCAUGAAGCAUUCCAUAUUUAA